rnacentral:rRNA from 1 species
GAUGAACGCUGGCGGCGUGCCUAACACAUGCAAGUCGAGCGAACGGACGAGGAGUUUGCGUGGUGCAUGUGAGGGGCGCACGGGUGAGACACACGAGUAUAAUGCACUUAUCUUACGGAGAAAACUUGGGGAAAGCGGAUCAAAUAGCGGAUAAGAUUCUGAAGCGCAGGGUUGGAAGGAGAAAGACGGUGUUGGGGUCUCGUAUAGAUGGAUCCGCGCUGCUUUGGCUAGUUGGUAAGGUAACGGCUUACCAAGGCAACGAUGCAUAGCCGAGCUCAGAGGGUGGUCGCCCGCACUGGAACUGAGACGCGGACCAGACUCCUACGGGAGGCAGCAGUAGCGUAUCUGACGCAGUAGGCGAAAACAUUACGGAGCAGCGCCGAGUGUGUGAUGAAGGUCUUCGGAUCGUGAAACUCUGUUAUUGGGGAAGAACAUAUGUGUAAGUAACUGUGCACAGAUUGACGGUAACUAGUCAGAAAGCACCGGCUAACUACGUG